AUUGAACGCUGGCGGAGUGCUUUACACAUGCAAGUCGAACGGUAACAGGGUGCUUGCACCGCUGACGAGUGGCGAACGGGUGAGUAAUGCGUCGGAACGUGCCGAGUAGUGGGGGAUAACGCAGCGAAAGUUGUGCUGAUACCGCAUACGAUCGAGAGAUGAAAGUGGGGGACCGCAAGGCCUCACGCGAUAGGAGCGGCCGAUAUCUGAUUAGCUAGUUGGUGGGGUAAAGGCCCACCAAGGCUUCGAUCAGUAGCUGGUCUGAGAGGAUGAUCAGCCACACUGGGACUGAGACACGGCCCAGACUCCUACGGGAGGCAGCAGUGGGGAAUUUUGGACAAUGGGGGCAACCCUGAUCCAGCCAUUCCGCGUGAGUGAAGAAGGCCUUCGGGUUGUAAAGCUCUUUUGUCCGGGAAGAAACGGUUUUGGCUAAUAACCAAGACUACUGACGGUACCGGAAGAAUAAGGACCGGCUAACUACGUGCCAGCAGCCGCAGUAA
rnacentral:rRNA from 1 species